rnacentral:misc_RNA from 1 species
AAAGAUCCCAGCAUUCAAGAACCUGGAGAAAAAAGAACAAAAUUUCAAGAAACAAAUUUUUAAUUUUUAAUUUCCAAGUAGUGUAAGUCGACUUGUAUGAAUCUGUUUCCCCAAUUUUCACUCCAUUUAAAGCUAAAAUAUUUUUUAAAAAAAUAAAUUAAAUAAAAAAAGAAGUGAAAGCAUUUGCAGUUGCAGCCGAACAAGAACAUGGACUUUGACCAAGAUUCCAUUUCCAAAAGAAAUUUUGUGCAAUGUGAGAGCAUCCUCAGGCAAUUUCAGGGAUCUUACAUGGGAAAUUGCCAACUUGUAGAUUAAAGAAAACAGUUCAAAUGUAUCAAUCAAGAACUUGUCUCUUCCGGAUUAAAGAAAUGCAUAGUAAUUAGUAACAAAAAGCAAUAUCAUUUUCAUUGACUUAGGCACAUAAACACAUUCUAAAUUGACAUAAUUAUUAUAAUUAGCAAUCUUAAUUAGCUUGUCUACUACAAGUCUUUGGUAUUGGAUUUAAUCAUUUUACCUAUUCUAUAUUUUGCUUAGCUAAGUAGGAAAUUUUUUUUUAUGAAUAAAGCAAUUAUGUACUAGU